AUUGAACGCUGGCGGCAGGCCUAACACAUGCAAGUCGAACGGUAACAGGAAGCAGCUUGCUGCUUCGCUGACGAGUGGCGGACGGGUGAGUAAUGUCUGGGACACUGCCUGAUGGAGGGGGAUAACUACUGGAAACGGUAGCUAAUACCGCAUAACGUCGCAAGACCAAAGAGGGGGACCUUAGGGCCUCUUGCCAUCGGAUGUGCCCAGAUGGGAUUAGCUAGUAGGUGGGGUAACGGCUCACCUAGGCGACGAUCCCUAGCUGGUCUGAGAGGAUGACCAGCCACACUGGAACUGAGACACGGUCCAGACUCCUACGGGAGGCAGCAGUGGGGAAUAUUGCACAAUGGGCGCAAGCCUGAUGCAGCCAUGCCGCGUGUAUGAAGAAGGCCUUCGGGUUGUAAAGUACUUUCAGCGGGGAGGAAGGGAGUAAAGUUAAUACCUUUGCUCAUUGACGUUACCCGCAGAAGAAGCACCGGCUAACUCCGUG
rnacentral:rRNA from 1 species